rnacentral:rRNA from 1 species
UACAGGGGGUGCAAACGUUGCUCGGAAUCAUUGGGCGUAAAGCGCACGUAGGCGGUUUGUUAUGUCGGAUGUGAAAGCCCUUGGCUCAACUGAGGAAGUGCAUCCGAAACUGGCAAGCUAGAGUACUAAAGAGGGUCGCGGAAUUCCCGGUGUAGAGGUGAAAUUCGUAGAUAUCAGGAGGAACACCGGUGGCGAAGGCGGAUCUCUGGGCCAUUACUGACGCUGAGGAGCGAAAGCGUGGGGAGCGAACAGG